GAUGAACGCUGGCGGCGUGCUUAACACAUGCAAGUCGAACGGAAAGGCUCCUGCUUGCAGGGGUACUCGAGUGGCGAACGGGUGAGUAACACGUGGGUGAUCUGCCCUGCACUUCGGGAUAAGCCUGGGAAACUGGGUCUAAUACCGGAUAGGACGAUGGUUUGGAUGCAAUUGUGGAAAGUUUUUCGGUGUGGGAUGAGCUCGCGGCCUAUCAGCUUGUUGGUGGGGUAAUGGCCUACCAAGGCGUCGACGGGUAGCCGGCCUGAGAGGGUGUACGGCCACAUUGGGACUGAGAUACGGCCCAGACUCCUACGGGAGGCAGCAGUGGGGAAUAUUGCACAAUGGGCGCAAGCCUGAUGCAGCGACGCCGCGUGGGGGAUGACGGCCUUCGGGUUGUAAACUCCUUUCGCUAGGGACGAAGCGUUUUGUGACGGUACCUGGAGAAGAAACACCGGCUAACUACGUG
rnacentral:rRNA from 1 species